AACUCUCACGAUGAUGCUCGCUCGAGAUCGAUGAGACGCAGCGAAGUGCGAUAGCACUGCGAUUGCAGAUCCGUGACAGUAGAAUCUCACGCAUACUGCACAAAGGGAUCUUCCUCUUGUACAUACAUAUCAGUGUCG
rnacentral:rRNA from 1 species